CCCUCGUCGCAGGCCCAGGCCCGGUCCAGGCGCUGCAGGCUGCGGGUGGGGCUGCCGUGUGGCCCUGUCCCCUCGAGGCAGACAGGAGAGCCCUGUCCAGAGUACGGAGACCGCAGCUGUGGCCCAAUGGAGGGAGUAGCACCAGAAAUUCCUCUGAGGUCUUCACAAAAAAGACUCUGUGAUGACAGUUCCUGGGUCUGGGGGCCUCCAUCUGACACAGCUGCGCUUGUCUUUGGAGACAGAGAGAGCCUGUAGACGUCCGGGUUCCUCUUUGUCGGGCCGACCCCUAAGGAAGCAGGCGUGCAGGCCCAACGGGCCUGGCACUCCUUGGCCCCUGGGCUGGGCACGAAAGUCACUAUACGGUUACUCGUGUGUGUUAAAAGACAUUUGAAAAAUAAAAUGAAUUUUUCAGCAAA